UGGGGAAUUUUGGACAAUGGGCGAAAGCCUGAUCCAGCAAUGCCGCGUGUGUGAAGAAGGCCUUCGGGUUGUAAAGCACUUUUGUCCGGAAAGAAAUCCUUGGCUCUAAUACAGUCGGGGGAUGACGGUACCGGAAGAAUAAGCACCGGCUAACUACGUGCCAGCAGCCGCGGUAAUACGUAGGGUGCAAGCGUUAAUCGGAAUUACUGGGCGUAAAGCGUGCGCAGGCGGUUUGCUAAGACCGAUGUGAAAUCCCCGGGCUCAACCUGGGAACUGCAUUGGUGACUGGCAGGCUAGAGUAUGGCAGAGGGGGGUAGAAUUCCACGUGUAGCAGUGAAAUGCGUAGAGAUGUGGAGGAAUACCGAUGGCGAAGGCAGCCCCCUGGGCCAAUACCGACGCUCAUGCACGAAAGCGUGGGGAGCAAACAGGAUUAGAUACCCUGGUAGUCCACGCCCUAAACGAUGUCAACUAGUUGUUGGGGAUUCAUUUCCUUAGUAACGUAGCUAACGCGUGAAGUUGACCGCCUGGGGGAGUACGGUCGCAAGAUUAAAACUUAAAGGAAUUGACGGGGUCAUAGCUGUUUCCU
rnacentral:rRNA from 1 species